rnacentral:lncRNA from 1 species
UCUAAAGAAAUAAUACAAUUAUUUUGAAUAGUAGUUUCUUCACAAUUAGUCGUCUUCUACUUGAAUCAGGUCUACGUUGCUUCAGUACCUCACUUAUAAGUUGCGGAAUAAACGCUAUUGCACCAUAGAUAAUGUUCAUCUGCGUUGGACAUCUCAGUUAGCCAUCUAUGGCACAGAAAGUCAUCCAACCCUUAAUGGCAUAACCUUUGGGGCAGAUAUGGCAAUAUAUAAUUCAACUCCAUUAAAACAUGACAAUAUAUAAUUCAACCCUGAAACUCGGUUGUACAAUACGAAAAACUCCCAUCUACAAUCCACUACAAAAUACUCUUUUGAUGAUAGACUACAAAACACUCUCAUUUUGGUGGCUCUCUCAAAAAAAAAUUUCUCAUCCAUUUACACUAUCAGAACCCAAAUCACCCACUAUAUAUAGGGUUUGGUGUCGGCCAUCUGUGUUCCAAAAUAAGAAAAAAAUAAUUUUUUAAUGUGAUAAAGUUGGUGCUGGCCAUCGUUGUCCCAAAACCAAAAAAAAAAAAAAAUUGAUAUCCAAAAAAGGUGGUGCCAGCCAUCAGUGUCCCAAAGAAAAAAAAUUUACAUUGGGAGAAAAAAAGAUACUUGGUGCCGGCCAUUACAUGGCCAGCACUCAAAAAAAUUUAACUAGUGCCGACCAUUAGUGUAACAAAGUAAAAAAAAAUUGUACUGGGACACGAAAAAAGUACUUGGUGCCAACUAUCUACUGGCCAGCACCAAAUUUGUUUUUUUACCUCUGGUGUCGAACAUUACAUGGCCAGAACCAAAUUUUUUUUUAAAUAUUGAUAUUUUUGUAUAUCAAUAUGAUACGAUUUUAAAAAAAAUACCCUGGUGCCGGCCAUUGGGUUCCCAAAGUCAAAAAAAUUAAUAUUUUAAAGCCUGACACAAUCAUCAGGCAAUCAUGGGGUCAAAACACUAUGUAAUGCCGCCCAUUGGGUUCCCAAAACCCUAAUUUACUAUUCAUUUUAGGUCAUUUAGGCGAUUGUUUUUAAAUUUGGGUCAUUUUUAUAAAUAUAAAAAAAAUUUAAGUUAGAUUGGUAAAAUAGCCUAAUAUUACCUAGGUUUAUUUCUUGACAUACUUUUUUUUUUGAAAAUAUUCUUAAAAUACUUAUGCUUCUUACUUUAUAUAACAUAAAUAUGUAGGGGUGAGCAAAAUUCGAUUCGACUCGAAAAAAUCGAAAAAAAUUCGAAUUUCGAGUUAAACGAAUUGAGUUAUUCGAGUUAAUCGAGUUAUUCGAAUCAACUCGAAUUUUUUUCAAAUUUCGAGUUCGAAUCGAGUUGGGUUUUUGAAUUCGAAUAAUUCAAAUGUCAAACUAUAAUAUUUUACAUUUUUAUCCCAAACUCCCAAACUUUUUUACUUUUCCCUUAAAACUUUUACUCCUUCCCACUUUCCCCCAAAAACUUUUACUCCCCUCCCAACCCCCCAAUCUACCCAAAAUUCAUUUCCCACUAAAAUUUUACUCUCCCAUUUAUUUUUUCUCAAAAUUUUACUCCCCAAAACGCUCAAAACCUUUUAUUUUUCCCCAAAAUUUUUACUCCCUCCCACUUUUUUCCUAAAACUUUUAUUUCCUUCCCAUCCCACCUCUCAUCUACCCCAAACCCUCCCCCCUCUAAUUUUUUUUAAUAUUUUCCCUCCAAAAUUUUACUCCCCUGUUUACUUUCCCUCAAACUUUUAUUCCCUAAAACUUUUUAUUUUCUCCUAAACUUUUACUUCUCACCCUUUACUCUCAAAUAAAAAAUCAAAAUUAUCCAAAAUAAAAAAUCACUAAACAUAAAUAGUAAUAAUUUUAUUUAUAUCUACUAUUUAUAUUAUUAAAUUAAAUUUCACAUUUUAUAUUAUUUAUAUUAUUGAAUUGUUUAGUCAUAUUUAAUAUUUAUAUUAAAGUUGAAUUAUUAAUUAUGCCAUAAAAUAUUUGUGUUAAAAUUUUAUAUUGGUAUCAAUUUCACAUUUUAUUUUUAAAAUAACUUUUAUUAAAAAAUCACGUUUUUACAUUUAAUAUAUUAUUUAAUUCUAAAAUACAUAGUGACAAGAAUCUGAAGAUAAUUAAAACAACUAAGCAAGCAAAUAAGCUAACCAGUAUAUAAAAAAUUAAUAAAUAAAUUAUAAGGUGUUGAAAGUUAAUAAAAAAUUUAAUUAAGGUGGACAAAUUUUAUUACGAUGGGUGGCAGUAGUUAUAAGUACCUAAAAUUAUUUUUUAAAAUUUAACUCGAACAAAUAGAUUCGAUUCGAUUCGAAGUCCAUCUCACUCGACUCGAUUCGAGAAAACUUCAAAUAAAAUUAGAAUGAUAAAAUGUGAUUCAAAAACUCGAUUAACUCGAAAAUUUUCGAUUCGAUUCGAUCGAAUGCUUACCCCUAUACAUAUAUAUGUAUUGUGGGUUUUAGGAAUAGGAAUAUCCUCAGUAGCAUCGAGUGAGUGAAGGAGGAUUGUCUAGAAAAUUUAUGUCAACUCAGACAGGCAGCCGCAGCAGUUAAAAGUGUCAAGAAUUGUUCGGUCGUUAUGAUCAUUAAUUAGGAAAUCAUGUGGCUCUUUUGUCUCGAUUGUUGUCUUUUUUUACUUUUCAUUUUUCUUUAUUGAAUCAGUCCUGGACUGCCAAUUCACGGUUUAUUCCACCAAAAUAAUAAUAAUAAUAAUAAUAAUAAUAAUAAUAAUAAAGUAUGCCAACAGUCUAAUUUUACUUCAAAACUUAUCCUUUUAAACUUUUACUGCUGCCUGACAAAAGUUGUGUAAUCAUUAAUAAAUCCAAGAAGUGAGUGAUAAAUUCGAUUGUGUAUAUGUUUCAUGUAUUUUUUACGUUGGUUAUACAAAUAUAAAUGGUAUACUGCUAGUAACUAUUUUUAUUCCAAAAAUAAUUUUAAAAAAUUGACGUAUAUAUUUUUCAAUAUUAUAUUUUAUCUAUAAGAUAUUUGUCAACUUCUACUUUAUUAACAAUAUAUUAAAUAUUUUUUCAAAGUAUACAAUAUAAAUUAUUAAAAUUUUAAAUAUCAAAAUUUUAAAUUGUAACCUAUUGAGUGUUUACGUUCUUCAAAUAUAGCAUAAAUUCAAAUUAUCAUUGUAUAGAAAAACAUACUUAUAUUAAAUGUCAUAUAUAUUAAUUACAUUUAGUUACCCUAUUUAAGAAACGUUUGUUAUGUUUUUAUCAUAUCCGGAGAGCAGGACUCGUGACACUGCCGGUUGCCAGCUCAUGCAAUUAAAGAAGGAAAAUUAAAGACAAAAAGACAACAAAAGAAACAAAACCCAUUGUUCCACAGCCCAUGACCGCCCCAUGCAAGACAAUGUCUGAGAAUUGAAAAAACCAAAAGAGGAAAAAAAAAAAGAAAAAAAAAGCUUCAAACGGCGCUAAAUUGAAGGACACAGGUUUACCAAUACAAAGCAGAAGUAAAAUUUUAAGCAUAUAAUUUAUUUUAAAACGUCACUAAUAUUUUACGUACCUUUGUACUGUGUUAUUUUUCACUGAAAAUCCCUACAUCCUACAAACAACGACGCUUGAUUGUUGUUGUUGCUGAUGCCGUGGCUGUUGGUCAGUGAAAGUGUGAAACCCCUUCUCCGCUCAUGCUUCAAAUUUUGCAUUGCUCAGCCGAUGCAGAUUUUUCGAGUAGUUCAAUAGUUCAUGUAGAUUUUCUAUUUUAAAAACUGUGGUCAAAUGUUUUGAACCGAUCGAUGAGAUGAGCUAAAGGUUCUUACUUACUAGGAAAGAAGCGUUAAUCUAUUGUUGUUGAUAGCGCUGCUGUGAAAGCAAUACUACGGUCGUUGAAACUUGAAGUAGCAUGUUACUGAGAGUUUUGUACCGAGCGAUGAGAGAACGGAUGUUGAGGUGAUUUGAUGGGCCUUAGAUUCUUCCACAGCCGCCGUUUUCGUUGUUGAAAUUGAAGGCAUCAGAGAGACUAGCAAGUAGUAUUUAUGUUGUCUGCGUUGGCAUCGAUGCUGCUUUUUUGUGUUAAAUUUGUUAUCUUGCAGCAGGAAACUGCAUUAGCCCUAGGAAUGAUUUUGGUGUUUCGCAACAAUCAUUGUUCAAGUUAUGUUGUUCAGAAACGAUUUU